UGUAAUUGUCCCUGUCAGAGCGGGUCUGCUCGUGGUUGAAGCCCAGAGCGUGGAGCAGCUCGUGCUGGACAGUGCUGUGAUACAGACAUCCAAAACGAUCCAGAGACAGAGUCUGAGCUCCCCCCUGUCGGCCCACGUCUGAAGCGGAUGCACGACAAGGAGGAGAAGGACUGCAGGCCACGCUCAAUGAUGGCUCUCUCACGAGCCGCUGCAAGAGUUCUCAAGGCGGGCUCAUCAGCAUCAGGAACUAAAACAGGCAAUUAUCAAUAGUCACUUAUCAAUAUCACAUUCAGUGGUUUCAAAUGAGGUCUUAGUGUAUCUACACUCACUGCGGUUUCUGUUGGCUCUCUCCAGCAGUUCACCCACAGACGGCUCUCUGGAAGGGACAUCUCUCCGGGAGGAAACCUCUACGAGACAGUUGUUUUUCAAACUUAUUGACACUAAGAAAUAGACUUAUUCAAUACUGAUUCUGAUAUCAUAAUAAUAAGAAAAUCACAUUUAGAAAAUGUGAUUUUCUCAAUUAAAUCAUAUUACUUUCUUUUUCUAUUCCUAUGUGGCUUGUUUAAUCCCUCCAUUGUCCAGAUAGACUCUGCAGUGGUCCAUGGAUGUAUUCUGCCCUACAAACACAAAACGCUGUAGCAUCAUGUUUGGUCAAAAAUGAGUUCAUUUGUGAUUUAGUUCAUAAAUAUAUUUGAUUUUAAAAUCCAACCUCUGGCCUCCUUCUUUUUGUUGUGGGCUUGGCACACGCUCUGAACACAUUCAAUAAAUAAAACUUUGUAUUCAAUUAUACUUCAGUGAUAUUUAAUGUGAAGUAUUGUGUGUAUUUAUUCAUACUGUACACACUUUACUGCAGAGUCAAGUGUCGCCGUACGAUCCUGAUCAGAACUAAACAGGAAAUCCAAAACUGUUCUAUAUUAUUGCAAACAAACACAUGCUGACUGGAGCUUGGUGACGGGUUUUUCUUAGAAUGGCUGGAAGUCUGGAGAAAAUCAAGCAAAUAAUGAUCAGGUCACUUUCUGCCUUUGGCCUUUGAGCAACUCCUUAUUUUAGGCUCAUGAUACAAAGACAGAGAACAGGAACUGGCAAAUAAGGUCAAAGGUCAAUUUUGAGCUCAAUAUUUUUUGCAUAUAUAUUUCUUCAUUAUAUCAACUAGUUUUCAAAUUGUGAAAGCCCUGCAUAUUCUACUUUAGUCUGGACAAAACAGAAACUUUGAAGUCAGUUUUCUCAGUUUCACACUCUGGAGAGUUAAGGUCUUGAGCCUUUGUAGGGCAGAAUACUGGUCUAUGUGCUCAGAGCGAGUAUUGAUUAGUAUCUGUUUUCAAUACUUUUGACAAAAUUACAAGACAGUGGUCAAUAUAUGGUGUGCAUUCUGGUUUGGUCCUGCUAUGAGCUCACUUUAGUCCCUCUCAUGUGGACUUGGUUUUGUUCUAGUCUAGUCCUAAUUUUGAUGUAGUGUGAAUCAGUCAGCUAAAUAGAAUAUCCACAGCAACUCAGAAAAUGAUCUCAGCAUUGACCCCAGGAAAGGGCAAGAACAAAUUUGAAAACAGUUAAUGGACUGCAAUUAAAUAUGUGAGGAUUUUGUACUUUUCUGUCUUUAAUUUUUUUGUAUUAUUCUGUCCCCCCAGAGGAGCUGAAGAAGGGUGAAGGAUAUCUGGGAAACCCUGCUUAGACUGCUGUCCCCGUGCGACGGCUCUGGAUAAAUGGAAGAAAAUAGAUGGAUGUCCACAAUGCACAUUCACAUUACAAAGAAAAUGGCUAUUAUAUAACACCACACUUGUAUGACUCCAGUGGAGACAAAGGGGCAUUUAGUCAUCUGCCAGUUUGUGCUAAAUAAUGAUCACCACUGUGCUUACAGUAGUUGUUGGCGAUGUAGUAGAAUGAGUAUGGUUACAGUAGUAGCAUACUCCCAUAUACUUCCCAAAAAUAUAACCUGGCUUACCUCAGACUGAUACGUGUGUGUCACUCUGAACUGAAUUCUACACAUUAUCAAUCUGAAAAGGCUUUCAUUUAAAGUGAUCAGAAAAAUGUGGAACGUUAGAACUAUUUGAAUCUGAUUGUCUGAAGUGUCACAACAUACAACUUUAACCAUGGAUUGGGUAUAAUAUAUUCAUCAUUCUUUACCUUCUUCAGCCCAGGCAGAGGACACCAACAAGAGAGUCACAAACGUCCAGGAAAAUAUCACCAUGGUGACAGCAGACCUGUAUGAACUGUUCUGAUCAACCGAACUCUGAUACAGUACACAUAUUUAUCACCCCAGCAGCACCCUUUAUCAGUCACUGCAAAUGUUUGUGUGAAGUUGAACAGAUGUAGACCAGUCACAGUAUGCACAAAGAACACAGAACACAUUUUCAUUUGAAUAAUUUCAGUUUGCUGUUUACAUUUUAACAUAACUUGCCACAAUUUCAGAUGAAGGGCAGGGGUGUAUUUAGCUCUGAGAGGUUCUGUGUAAUACCUGAAAUAUGCAUCACUUUUGUGGUGUUCUCAUCAUUAUGUGAUGGAGAUUGGUUCUACAAGCUGGUCAUAAUCUCAUGUCUUAAAGUUUGUUUGCUUAACAGUAAUAAUGAUUAGACAAUAUACUUUAAUUUUGUUAAAUAAAUGUGGAUUUUUGUGUUUUAAACUACUGGACUUAGUGCCUUUCAAGAUACCCAGAGCUUUUCACAGUGUAUUAUGCAUUCACUCCACACUCUGGUGGUAAAUUUCUGUUGGGGCAGACUGAAGGCAGAAAGGUUAUCAAUCUGUAUCAUCAGCCCUUUCCAUCACCACCAACACCCCAUUCAUACUCGGCACAAUGUGGGUGAAUUGUCUUGCCUAAGGACACAACGACAGUUUUUCCAGCGGCCUCCUACCUAACCAUGCCCAGCCCUGCUUAACUUCUUUUAUUGUUUUUACAUGGAACUUAGCACUUCCUGUAGUUUCCAGUGUUUUUCUUCCAGCCUUUCUCCAAAAAAUGCUUCCUGACUGAGGUGAAACUAUGGUUUUGAAAAACAUGAAAAUCAAUCAUACAUUUUCAGUCUGAAUAACCAUCUGACCUGAUGAACUGUAUGUGCAUAGAUUUGUUAAAACUGACCUAUUCUGCAAAAUCAACUUUUCCGAGCAUUUACACGAUAUAGCUGUUUCCCUUCUCAUUUCCCUUUACCCUUUAUUUGGAAUGUAUGUUUGCAUAAUCUUUAGUCUCUUAUUUUCAAGAUGCAAUUUUGCAGAUCAGUUCCUAUUUUCACUGUCACAGUCAAGUGCACUGCCACUGCUCUGUAUUAACUGUCCUCUAAUUUUGUUUUCUUAAUCUGUGAUACACGUAGGAUUUGGCAGCAUCUUGGAUCCAUUUUUAGUUCAAAUCUGCGACUCAUUAGUGUGAUCUGCAGCUAUCCAUAUGAGUUGCCAGUGUUAAGGAUCUGUUGGGAGCGAUAUGUCAACUUGAGCAAAGUGGGCGUGCCAGGGAUCCAGCUUUA